ensembl:lncRNA
CUUAAAGGAAUGAAAACAGAAGGGUUUUUUUGGUUGAAUAAAUGCUUUAUUAUAAUAGACACUUGAAACCAUUCUUUAAGACUGGAAGUAUGUGUAAAAAAAAAAAAUAAAUAAAAAUCUCCCUUUUGAAAAUAAUUAAAACAAAUAAGAAAUCUUUGAACAUAAGCAAUUAGGAGGGAAAAAAGGAGCAGGACCUACGUUGGCUUUGUUUGGAAGUAUUUUAGCUGGUGAAAUAGAACAAAACCAGAUAAUAUUUAUUCUAAAAUGUAGGUGUAAUGUAUAAAACGUAUGCGCUCGGUUGAGGUGGGUAUAUUUAGUUUUAUUCGAUAAGAAACUAUGAUCGGAAGCACAUUUACUGAAUGAAUCCCUUGAUGGACACCAACAUGUGAAUUUGCCUCAGCGUGUGAAUGUGAUUGGAUAAUUGGCUGAUGUGAUUGGAUAUUCAGCGCACGGGGCCAAUAUACACAGCGCAAUGGCAAUGCGUUUUUUUUCUGUGGGAACCGGGGCGCAGCGGGUCGCACAACUGUUGCACAGCAUCUCAGAUGUUUUUGUCAUUCUGAAAUGCCUGAGCCAAUGUCUGUCAUCGAAAUGAUUUGGUAUAAUUACCUCCCAGAACUGUCUCGCACGAUUCCGCUCCCAAAAUAUCAGACAUCCGCCUCCGAUCGCAGGAUAACAUGAGGUUUGUGAUAGCGUUUCAUCUGUGUGCUCUGAAGCGGAUGUGCUCUGAAGUCAUUUAUUAUAUUUGGGAAAAAAUAUAAUUCUCCACUCUGUGUGUGUGUGUGUGUGUGUGGCGAGUUUGACGAGUCUAACAGGCAGUCCAGGAGAUUCUCCGCCUGCUUUCGUUUUCUUUUUUUCAGUACUGUAGAUAAGUAAAUGUUCCUGGUAUGAUGACUGUCAAUGUUCAUACCGUGGUAUUCUGUGAAACCGGUAAACCGCUGCAACCAUAGUGUGCAGUAUGACUACAAUCUGGACGUACUGCAUCCGCCAUGUUGGCAUUGUCAUGUGAUCUACAACUUUAAAAGAGCCGACACGCUGCCUUCUAUCAUUUUUUAUUCUGACAGCUCUUCCAUGCCAGUCCCAGUGCCUUAUGGGAUAGCGCAGAGUGUAUUGCUUCCAUACUGCAGAAUCUUGGCAGAAGCAGUAGGUCAUCUGGGUGUUUCUCGCCUACUGUUUAAUGAAUGCUGAGAAUUUGUACAUACUACUUCUUUGGUGUACUGCUUUUCGCCUACUCUAUAGUAAGGUAGUAGGGAUAUUCUUGAUACUAGUAAUACUAGUUGAGUACUCGAGAUUUGAGUAAUUUUUCAUACUAGCCUUACAUUUGAUUCUUUUGUUCAGAGCACUGUUAAAGCAUCCUUUUUUCACCGCAGAAAUAUAGCAAGACUGUACCCUAUUCUAAACUUCUCUGUAGCUGAAAAGCUGCUAAACUCAUUCGUUGUCACUUGGAUAGAUUACUGUAACGCCCUUUUAGCUGGAGUUUCUAAAUCCACACUCAAUAAACUCCAAUAUGUAUAAAACUCUGGCGCCAGGAUCCUGACUGGGACCAGGACAUGCAAUCAUAUUAUUCCUGUUUUGGAGGCCUUGCACUGGCUCCUGGUCAGGUUCCGUCUCGAUUUUAAAAUGAUGAUGCUGACAUACAAAGGCUCCUCAUUAUUUAUCUGCUUUGUUAAUCCCUUACACCCCAAAUCUCAGACUGUGCUCCUCAUUAUUUAUCUGCUUUGUUAAUCCCUUACACCCCAAAUCUCAG